CUAUCUAACAGUCAAAACACAUGCAAGCCUCUCUUGAAAACUUGAGCUCACGGUUGUGGUGGACAGGAUAACUGUGAUGACCACCAACACCCUCUCCUCUCUAGCUUGAAGAGUCACGGAGAUUUAACACUUUCGACCAUAUAAUUUUCAGAGUAGCAGAUGCAAUGAUGGUUCACAUACAACUAGUUUAACGUUUUCAUUCGUGGUUCCCUCCCCUCUUUACAGACUAAAUGCAAAAGUGAACAUUAGAUAUGCUGGUUUUCUGGUGAAUUAAACUAAACAUUCCCCACCACAUUGUUAAAUCCUCCCU